UACGUAGGGGGCAAGCGUUGUCCGGAAUUAUUGGGCGUAAAGGGCUCGUAGGCGGUUUGUCGCGUCGGGAGUGAAAACUCAGGGCUUAACCCUGAGCCUGCUUCCGAUACGGGCAGACUAGAGGUAUGCAGGGGAGAAUGGAAUUCCUGGUGUAGCGGUGAAAUGCGCAGAUAUCAGGAGGAACACCGGUGGCGAAGGCGGUUCUCUGGGCAUUACCUGACGCUGAGGAGCGAAAGUGUGGGGGGCGAACAGG
rnacentral:rRNA from 1 species